rnacentral:rRNA from 1 species
GUGACGCUGGCGGCGUGCCUAAUACAUGCAAGUCGAGCGAAUGGAUUAAGAGCUUGCUCUUAUGAAGUUAGCGGCGGACGGGUGAGUAACACGUGGGUAACCUGCCCAUAAGACUGGGAUAACUCCGGGAAACCGGGGCUAAUACCGGAUAACAUUUUGAACCGCAUGGUUCGAAAUUGAAAGGCGGCUUCGGCUGUCACUUAUGGAUGGACCCGCGUCGCAUUAGCUAGUUGGUGAGGUAACGGCUCACCAAGGCAACGAUGCGUAGCCGACCUGAGAGGGUGAUCGGCCACACUGGGACUGAGACACGGCCCAGACUCCUACGGGAGGCAGCAGUAGGGAAUCUUCCGCAAUGGACGAAAGUCUGACGGAGCAACGCCGCGUGAGUGAUGAAGGCUUUCGGGUCGUAAAACUCUGUUGUUAGGGAAGAACAAGUGCUAGUUGAAUAAGCUGGCACCUUGACGGUACCUAACCAGAAAGCCACGGCUAACUACGUGCCAGCAGCCGCGGUAAUACGUAGGUGGCAAGCGUUAUCCGGAAUUAUUGGGCGUAAAGCGCGCGCAGGUGGUUUCUUAAGUCUGAUGUGAAAGCCCCACGGCUCAACCGUGGGAGGGUCAUUGGAAACUGGGAGACUUGAGUGCAGAACAGGAAAGUGGAAUUCCAUGUGUAGCGGUGAAAUGCCGUAAAAGAUUUUGGGAGGAACACCACUG